CUUGGCGACCAUAGUGUUGUGGACCCACCUGACUCUAUGCCGAACUCAGAAGUGAAACGUAAUAGCGCCGAUGGUAGUGUGGGGCUUCCCCAUGUGAGAGUAGGACAUCGCCAGGC
rnacentral:rRNA from 1 species